rnacentral:rRNA from 1 species
UGAAUACGAGACGCUAAGGCGUCGAAGUAGUGUAUGUCAUACUUCCAAGAAAAGCUUGCACUGUCAUAAGUAAAAAAUGCCUGUACCAUAACCGACACAGGUGGGUAGGUAGAGUAUACUAAGGGGCGCGAGAUAACUCUCUCUAAGGAACUCGGCAAAAUAACUCCGUAACUUCGGGAGAAGGAGUACCUUAUUCUAUAAGGUUGCAAUAACAAGAUCCAAGCAACUGUUUAUCAAAAACACAGGUCUCCGCUAAGUCGUAAGACGAUGUAUGGGGGCUGACGCCUGCCCAGUGCCAGAAGGUUAAAGAAGUCGGUUAGCAUUAGCGAAGCUGGUAACUGAAGCCCUGGUGAACGGCGGCCGUAACUAUAACGGUCCUAAGGUAGCGAAAUUCCUUGUCGGGUAAGUUCCGACCCGCACGAAAGGCGUAAUGAUUUGGAUACUGUCUCGGAGAGGGGCUCGGUGAAAUAGACUUGUCUGUGAAGAUGCGGACUACCUGCACCAGGACAGAAAGACCCUAUGAAGCUUUACUGUAACUUGAAAUUGAAAUUGGACUUUAUUCGCGCAGUAUAGGUGGGAGGUGUUGAUUAUAAUCUUGCGGGAUUAUUGGAGCCAUCAGUGAGAUACCACUCUUGUAAUGUUAGAUUUCUAACUUUGAAUCAUUAUCUGGUCAAAGGACAGUUUCAGGCGGGCAGUUUGACUGGGGCGGUCGCCUCCCAAACGGUAACGGAGGCGUACAAAGGUUUCCUCUGAACGGGUAGAAAUCGUAUCUAGAGUGUAAAGGCAUAAGGAAGCUUGACUGUGAGACCUACAAGUCGAACAGGGACGAAAGUCGGUCUUAGUGAUCUGACGGUACUGAGUGGAAAGGCCGUCACUCAACGGAUAAAAGUUACUCUAAGGAUAACAGGCUGAUCUCCCCCAAGAGUUCACAUCGACGGGGAGGUUUGGCACCUUGAUGUCGGCUCAUCGCAUCCUGGGGCGGUAGUACGUCCCAAGGGUUGGGCUGUUCGCCCAUGAAAGCGGUACGCGAGCUGGGUUCAGAACGUCGUGAGACAGUUCGGUCCAUAUCCGGUGUAGGCGUUAGAAUAUUGAGAGGAGCCUUCUUUAGUACGAGAGGACCGAGAAGGACAUACCUCUGGUGUACCAGUUAUCGUGCCAACGGUAAACGCUGGGUAGCUAUGUAUGGAGUGGAUAACCGCUGAAAGCAUCUAAGUGGGAAGCCCACCUCAAGAUAAGUAUUCUCC